GCUGGGCAAAGUCAUGUAAAUCUGCAAUCCCAGGUACUGGAUAGACAGAAGGUGAUGGAUCUCUUGAGUUUCAGAGUUUUAAGCUACAGUGGGCUAAGCCAACCAGGUGCUUGCCCUAAGUUUGACAUCAAUAUGAUGAGCCUCUGGGAGCUAGAACUCACCCAGUUGCUUAAGGAGGAGUGAAACAGGCCAGGUUGAAAGCAAAACAUGCCAAAGCUUCCAUGCCAAUCAUUAGUGGGAUUGGGCCACUAGUAGACACUAUAUUUCUGGCCCGAGCAAGAUAGAAAGUUUCAGUCUUU
rnacentral:SRP_RNA from 1 species